GGCCUUGACAUACUAAGAACUUUCCAGAGAUGGAUUGGUGCCUUCGGGAACUUAGAUACAGGUGCUGCAUGGCUGUCGUCAGCUCGUGUCGUGAGAUGUUGGGUUAAGUCCCGNAACGAGCGCAACCCUUUUCCUUAUUUGCCAGCGGGUCAUGCCGGGAACUUUAAGGAUACUGCCAGUGACAAACUGGAGGAAGGCGGGGACGACGUCAAGUCAUCAUGGCCCUUACGGCCAGGGCUACACACGUGCUACAAUGGUCGGUACAAAGGGUUGCUACCUCGCGAGAGGAUGCUAAUCUCAAAAAAGCCGAUCGUAGUCCGGAUCGCAGUCUGCAACUCGACUGCGUGAAGUCGGAAUCGCUAGUAAUCGCGGAUCAGAAUGCCGCGGUGAAUACGUUCCCGGGCCUUGUACACACCGCCCGUCACACCAUGGGAGUUUGUUGCACCAGAAGUAGGUAGUCUAACCGCAAGGAGGACGCUUACCACGGUGUGGCCGAUGACUGGGGUGAAGUCGUAACAAGGUAAGCGUAGAUGA
rnacentral:rRNA from 1 species